AAGCAUUUAGAGCAAAUCUGACACGAGGUAAAAUUGUUAAUCAGGUCAAGAUCUAUCUGCCCUGAAAUUUUUAGAUGAAUCAAACAACCCGUUGAUAGGUUGCUGCCCCUGAAUUGAUAAUUUUAAGGAAAUUUUGCUGUUUUUGGUAAUUAUCUUGAAUAUUAUCAUAGAUAGAGAUAAACUGUAAACAGCAAAAAUGUUCAGUAAAGUAAGAUCUACAAAUAAGUCAACAAGACCAAAAUGGUCUGUUGACCCCUUUAAGAGUUAUUGCCCUUUAUAGUCAAUUUUUAACCAUUUUUCGUAAAUCUUAGUCAUCUUUUACAAAAAUCUUCUCCUCUGAAACUACUGGGCC
rnacentral:lncRNA from 1 species